GUCGAACGCUGGCGGCGUGCUUAACACAUGCAAGUCGAACGAAGUGGCGAACGGGUGAGUAACGCGUAAUCAACCUGCCCUUCAGAGGGGGACAACAGUUGGCAACGACUGCUAAUACCGCAUACGGAAGGAGGGGAUUGCGUCUGAUUGGCUAGGUGGAGGGGUAACGGCCCACCAAGGCGAUGAUCAGGAGACGGUCUGAAGGGAUGGACGGGCCACAUGGGACAUAAGAACGGCCCCAGACCCUAAGGGAGGCAGCAGUGGGGAAUCUUUCGCAAUGGACGAAAGUCCUAUGGAGCAACGCCGCCUGAGUUGUGACGGCCCUCGGGUUGUAAAGCUCUGUUAAUCUGGACGCGGUACCGGAAUAGAAAGCCACGGCUAACUACGUGCCAGCAGCCGCGGUAAUAC
rnacentral:rRNA from 1 species